UACAGAGGGUGCAAGCGUUAAUCGGAAUUACUGGGCGUAAAGCGUGCGCAGACGGUUGCGUAAGUCUGUCGUGAAAGCCCCGGGCUCAACCUGGGAAUGGCGAUGGAUACUGGCUCGCUAGAGUGCGGUAGAGGAGAGUGGAAUUCCCGGUGUAGCAGUGAAAUGCGUAGAGAUCGGGAGGAACAUCAGUUGCGAAGGCGGCUCUCUGGACCAGCACUGACACUGAGGCACGAAAGCGUGGGGAGCAAACAGG
rnacentral:rRNA from 1 species